CAGGCAUUGGCUGGGAGCAGCCCGUGGGGCACGUGGCUCAGGGACUAACGCGGUGAUGGAUUUCAGAGCCCAGCAGUGAGGGCCCUUAUGCUCCUUGCAGUCAGCGAUCUGAGAAGCCCAUUCUCGUGUCCACGAUCACAGCAGACAAUCGUAGCGCUCUAAACCUGUAGCUGAACUCAAAGUGCUUUAGAAUCAAGUCUCAUCCACCAUUCCAACUAGUGAAAGGCAAAAAGCCUGCUAGAUUCUUGAACACUAUUCGUGCAAAGGGGAGGCUCGUCUCCACAAUAUUUUGGCCAUGCAACUAGACAUCCCAGGGCAGAGGACAAGUACACUAAUGAAGACUCACAGAGCUCACUGAUCUAGACCGAAUCACGGUAUAGCAAACUGGAGAUGCCACAGUUAUGAACAGAAGCAAGCAGAGGAUGAAGCUGAUGGUGUCCAUGUUAGGAAAAGAGGCUGGACCUGUAUGUGCUUUACGUAUCCGAGGUACGCGUGGAGAGUAGCUGGAUUAGGUGAGUGCUGGAGGGAAGGCCACACCCCUGACUCUGAGCCCA
rnacentral:lncRNA from 1 species